AAAAUCCGGCAGCGUAAUUCAAGGGUGUGCGACGAGUGGCCUUGUGCCGCGAAGCAAUCGGAAGUGGUUCCAAGAAAAGCCUCUAAGCUUCAGUCUAACGAGACCGUACCGCAAACCGACACAGGUGGGCGAGAUGAGUAUUCUAAGGCGCUUGAGAGAACUCGGGAGAAGGAACUCGGCAAAUUGGUACCGUAACUUCGGGAUAAGGUACGCCCUUGUAGUUUGACUGGCCUGCGCCAGAAGGACGAAGGGGUUGCAAUAAAUUGGUGGCUGCGACUGUUUAAUAAAAACACAGCACUCUGCAAACACGAAAGUGGACGUAUAGGGUGUGACUCCUGCCCGGUGCUGGAAGAUUAAAUGAUGGGGUGCAAGCUCUUGAUUGAAGUCCCAGUAAACGGCGGCCGUAACAAUAACGGUCCUAAGGUAGCGAAAUUCCUUGUCGGGUAAGUUCCGACCUGCACGAAUGGAGUAACGAUGGCCACACUGUCUCCUCCCGAGACUCAGCGAAGUUGAAAUGUUUGUGAUGAUGCAAUCUACCCGCGGCUAGACGGAAAGACCCCAUGAACCUUUACUGUAGCUUUGCAUUGGACUUUGAACCAAUCUGUGUAGGAUAGGUGGGAGGCUUUGAAGCGGGGACGCCAGUUCUCGUGGAGCCAUCCUUGAAAUACCACCCUGGUUUGUUUGAGGUUCUAACCUUGGUCCGUUAUCCGGAUCGGGGACAGUGCAUGGUAGGCAGUUUGACUGGGGCGGUCUCCUCCCAAAGUGUAACGGAGGAGUUCGAAGGUACGCUAAUUACGGUCGGACAUCGUGAUGAUAGUGCAAUGGCAUAAGCGUGCUUAACUGCGAGACUGACAAGUCGAGCAGGUACGAAAGUAGGACAUAGUGAUCCGGUGGUUCUGUAUGGAAGGGCCAUCGCUCAACGGAUAAAAGGUACUCUGGGGAUAACAGGCUGAUUCCUCCCAAGAGUUCAUAUCGACGGGGGAGUUUGGCACCUCGAUGUCGGCUCAUCACAUCCUGGGGCUGUAGCCGGUCCCAAGGGUAUGGCUGUUCGCCAUUUAAAGUGGUACGUGAGCUGGGUUUAAAACUUCGUGAGACAGUUUGGUCCCUAUCUGCCGUGGGCGUUGGAAAUUUGAAGGGGGCUGCUCCUAGUACGAGAGGACCGGAGUGGACGAACCUCUGGUGUACCGGUUGUCACGCCAGUGGCAUUGCCGGGUAGCUAAGUUCGGAAGAGAUAACCGCUGAAAGCAUCUAAGCGGGAAACUUGCCUUGAGAUGAGAUUUCCCAGAGCCUUGAGCUCUUUAAAGGGUCGUUCGAGACCAGGACGUUGAUAGGCUGGGUGUGGAAGUGCAAAA
rnacentral:rRNA from 1 species